rnacentral:rRNA from 1 species
UACGGAGGGUGCGAGCGUUAAUCGGAAUUACUGGGCGUAAAGCGCGCGUAGGUGGCUGGAUAAGCCGGUUGUGAAAGCCCCGGGCUCAACCUGGGAACGGCAUCCGGAACUGUCAGGCUAGAGUGCAGGAGAGGAAGGUAGAAUUCCCGGUGUAGCGGUGAAAUGCGUAGAGAUCGGGAGGAAUACCAGUGGCGAAGGCGGCCUUCUGGACUGACACUGACACUGAGGUGCGAAAGCGUGGGUAGCAAACAGG